ensembl:misc_RNA Metazoa_SRP Metazoan signal recognition particle RNA
GCCAGGCACAGUGGCGCGUGCCUGUAGUCCCAGCUACUCCAGAGGCUGAGGUGGAGGAUCUCUGGAGUCCAGGAGUUCUGGGCUGUAGUUCGCUAUGCCAAUCAGGUGUCUGCACUAAGUUCAGCAUCAAUAUGGUGACCUCCUGGGAGCAGGGGACCACCAGGUUGCCUAAGGCAGGGUGAAGUGGCCCAGGUCAGAAAAAGAGCAGGUCAAAACUCCCGUGCUGAUCAGUAGUGGGAUUGUGCCUGUGAAUAGCCAUUGCACUCCAGCCUGGGCAACAUAGCAAGAUCCUGUCUCUU